UACGUAGGUGGCAAGCGUUGUCCGGAAUUAUUGGGCGUAAAGCGCGCGCAGGCGGUCCUUUAAGUCUGAUGUGAAAGCCCACGGCUCAACCGUGGAGGGUCAUUGGAAACUGGGGGACUUGAGUACAGAAGAGAAGAGUGGAAUUCCACGUGUAGCGGUGAAAUGCGUAGAGAUGUGGAGGAACACCAGUGGCGAAGGCGACUCUUUGGUCUGUAACUGGCGCUGAGGCGCGAAAGCGUGGGGAGCAAACAGG
rnacentral:rRNA from 1 species